rnacentral:rRNA from 1 species
GGAUGAACGCUGGCGGCGUGCCUAAUACAUGCAAGUCGAGCGAACGGACGAGAAGCUUGCUUCUCUGAUGUUAGCGGCGGACGGGUGAGUAACACGUGGAUAACCUACCUAUAAGACUGGGAUAACUUCGGGAAACCGGAGCUAAUACCGGAUAAUAUUUUGAACCGCAUGGUUCAAAAGUGAAAGACGGUCUUGCUGUCACUUAUAGAUGGAUCCGCGCUGCAUUAGCUAGUUGGUAAGGUAACGGCUUACCAAGGCAACGAUGCAUAGCCGACCUGAGAGGGUGAUCGGCCACACUGGAACUGAGACACGGUCCAGACUCCUACGGGAGGCAGCAGUAGGGAAUCUUCCGCAAUGGGCGAAAGCCUGACGGAGCAACGCCGCGUGAGUGAUGAAGGUCUUCGGAUCGUAAAACUCUGUUAUUAGGGAAGAACAUAUGUGUAAGUAACUGUGCACAUCUCGACGGUACCUAAUCAGAAAGCCACAGCUAACUACGUG